GUGCUAGUGCCAAUAUGUGACAUGCUGCAUUGGUGGCUCAUUGCAUACAAUAUUAGAGCAGGCAAACUCUAUGUGUUAUGCAGUAUGGGGUGGCAAAAAAGUGAAGUUGCAUCCAGUAUACGAAGAUAUUUUCAGCAUGUGAGGCAAGAGCAAAGAUGGCCAGAAGACAUUGCUCAAAUUUCCCAACCUAUAUAUGCCGACGUGAUGCAACAAGCAAAUGGUUAUGAUUGUGGCAUAUUCGUGACAGAAUUUGCGAGAAGAAUAACAGAGGGGGUAAAGUUGAGAAAAGAUAUCAUGAUUCUUAAUCACUUUGUUUACUCUGUUCAUAUAAAGAUAGUGUUGUUUU